UCUCUCUCUCUCUCUCUCCUUAAUUUCUAUUCUUUUUUAUUUUUUUAUAUUCCAAUUAGUUUUAUUUUCUUCAUACUCCUUUUUAUCUUCCUGUUUUUUUUUGUUUGUUUUGUUUUCUGUCUUUAUUCCUAGCUUCUUCUCUCCUUCCUCUCGUCUAUUCUUCCUUUAUCUUCCUUUAUUCCUUCUCUCCUUGCACUUCCCUCCUCCCUUCCUCCUUCCCUUCUGUUCUUCCUAUUCUUCCUUCCUUCUCUCUUCCUCCCUCUCUCCUGGUUUCUCUGGGUUUUUUAGGUUUGUUUUGGUUGGGUCAGGUCAGGUGUGGUGUCAAUUAGGCUUGGCUCAGAUUACGGUGGCCAGGUAAAGUUAGGUAAGAGUUCUGAUUAGAAGUGAAGUUAGGGGUGCUUGGGUCUGUUCAGGCUUAGAAAAUGGGAAGGGGCGAGAUAAGGAAAAUGGGAGGGGAGGAUGAGAAGGAAAACGGGAAGAAGGAAGAGGAGGAAAAUGGGAAGGAGGGAGAGAAAAAGAAUGGGAAGGAUAGAGGGAAGGAGAAUGGAUAGGAGAGGGAAAGAAGGAGAAUGGGAAGAAGAGAGAGAAGGAGGAUGGGAAGGAGGAAGAGAAUGGGAAGGAGGGGGAGAAGAAGGAGAAUGGGAAGGGAGAGAAGAUGGAGAGUGGGAAUGAAGGAGAUAAGAAGGAGAAUGGGAAAGAAGGAAGAGUGGGAGAAUGGGCAGUAGAGUGAGAAGAAAAACGGGAAGGAGGUAGAGAGGGAGAAUGGGAAGGAGGGAGAUAAAGAGAGGAAGGAAGAUUAAAAGAGGGAGGUAAAGGAAGAGGAGGAGGAGGAGGAGGAGGGAGCUGGUGUGAGAACGGAAGAGAAAGAGAGAGAGAGAUAACAAGGAGUGACAAGCUGGAGAGAGUGAGAGAGGAAAUUAAGUUGACAGGAGAAGAAGAAGAAAAAAAGAGAAGCAGAAGAAGAAGGAAAAGAAGAUUAUGCUUGAGAUUAAUCAUGAGUUCCGUUUCUUUAAGUUACCCCAAGAUAAGAUUAGGUGACGAAUGAAUGAAUGAAUGAAGGUGAGUAAACAGGAUCACGUCACACAGGUAGGUGGGUAGGCAGGUAGGCAGACAGGUAGUAAGACGAGGCAUACGGGAGUCAGCGAGGUCGAAGGUGGGUGGCGACGGCGAUGUUUUAUUCAAGAGCGAAGGUCACCACGCCAAGAAGACUGACUGGAAGCGAAGGAGAGGCCGGACGUGAUGCAAUAAAGAAAAGGGAAGGAGAACGGCUCGAAUACGAAGGAAGAUAGUGCCAAACGAAGAUGGGAGAUGGGAGAAUAGAUAAAAAGAUUGACUAUAAGGGACGGAGAGGCUGAUCGUCAUGCAAUAGAGAAGCAGAAGGAGGAAUGACACGAAUGAGAAAGAGGAAAGUGUCAAACGAAAAUAGGUAUUAGAAUAGAUAAGAAGAAGAAGAAGACUAGAGGCAACGGAGAAGAUGGACGUGAUGAAAUAAAGAAAAAGGAAAGAAUAACACGAAUAUGAAAGAAGAGAAGGACGAACAGAGAAGGAAAAUGAGGUUAGGUGUUAGUUAGGGUAGCGGGCAAAGGGAACGAAGGAGACGAAUGAAGAUAAGAUGGAAUAAGGAAAAAGGGAAGAAAAAUGGCAGGAAACAGAGAAGGAAAAGGAGGUUAGGUGUUAGUUAGGGUAGCUGACAAAGGGCACGAAGGAGACGAAUGAAGGUAAGAUGAAAUAAAGAAAAAGGGAAGAAAAAUUACACGAACACGAAAGGAAAUAAAGGCAAAUGAGAAUGAAAAAUGGCGAUGUUAAGAUAGUUGAUGUAGGGAACGAAAGAGAGAAAUACAAAGAAGAUGGGAACUAACAAAGAGGGAAAGGAUGUUAGGUGUUAGUUAAGAGGUUAUAGGAAACGAAAGAGAGAAAUACAAAGAAGAUAGGGAUUAACGAAGACGGGAAAGGAUGUUAGGUGUUAGUUAAGAGGUUAUAGGAAACGAAAGAGAGAAAUACAAAGAAGAUAGGGAUAAACGAAGAGGGGAAAGGAAGUUAGUUGUUAGUUAAGAGGUUACAGGGAACGAAAGAGAGAAAUACAAAGAAGAUAGGGAUAAACGAAGAAGGGAAAGGAAGUUAGUUGUUAGUUAAGAGGUUACAGGGAACGAAAGAGAGAAAUACAAAGAAGACAGAGAUUAACGAAGAGAGGAAAGGAAGUUAGUUGUUAGUUAAGAGGUUACAGGGAGCGAAAGAGAGAAAUACAAAGAAGAUAGGGAUUAACGAAGAGGGGAAAGGAAGUUAGGCGUUAGUUAAGAGGUUAUAGGGAACGAAAGAGAGAAAUACAAAGAAGAUAGAGAUUAACGAAGAGAGGAAAGGAAGUUAGUUGUUAGUUAAGAGGUUACAGGGAACGAAAGAGAGAAAUACAAAGAAGAUAGGGAUUAACGAAGAGGGGAAAGGAAGUUAGUUGUUAGCUAAGAGGUUAUAGGAAACGAAAUAGAUAAAUACAAACAAAAGUAGAGAAGGGAAAACGAAGAGAAAUGAAGUUGGGUGAUAAUUUAAGAGUUAUAGGAAACGACAGAGAUUACAGAGCGGCAAAGUGAUUAAACUAGGAAAAAACUGGAGAGUAUGAACAUUAUAGGAAAAUGAAGAAAGAAGAAAUGAUGUCCCUACGUGUGAGUAUACAAAACAAGAGGUCGAGAACACCGAAUGGGUAACUAACUUAAUUAUUGUUUUCAUACAUAUAGGCCUACAGAAGAAGGUGGAAGUAGGCAUAAUAUGAAUACACAAAACACACACACCUUAUCAAACCACUGCUAAAUGUCGGAAGUGGAGUAAAAAAAAAAAGGGGUAGAGAGAGAUAAGAGAGAUAAGGAAUGCGAAAGACAGACAGACCGACAGAUAGGCAGACAGACAGACAGGUUAAUAAGUCAGGAAUGCUGUGGUGUAUUGUUACCUGGGCAAGAGAAUACCAUUAAUUAAGGUGAACAAAGGAAGGAGAAAAAAUGAGGAGGAAAAAUAAAAUGAGGGAAAAAUAUAAUGAAAAAAGAAAAAAGGAAAAGGAAAAGAUUAAAAUGAGGAAAAAAGAGAAAAGGAGAGAUUAAUUUUAAGAAGUGUUCGAGAGAGAGAGAGAGAGAGAGAGAGAGAGAGAGAGAGAGAGAGAGAGAGAGAGAGAGAGAGAGAGAGAGAGA